UUGUUCAGUGUCACCAUCAUCAGUGUGGUGCCCCACAUAAAGGGGAAGUUCAGCCACAUUAAACACCUUGCUUAUGCCCAUGUCAUCAGGCAACUCAAGAACAUAAGCAUUAGGUCCAAUACGUUGCAGCACCUUGUAUGGACCCAUUUUCUUCAGGUGGA